rnacentral:lncRNA from 13 species
GUUUUUGAGUGUCUAUUUUAAAUAUUUACAGUCUUGUAUAAGUCAUCUCAGGGAUCGUACUUGAAAACCUCACAGAGAAGCAAAAGUAGCAGAGUUGUCCUUUAAAGGGGCAAUCCGGGAUUGAACGAUACCCUUUCCCUACCUGUGGUGUUGGAAGAGUCUGCAUGGAGAUGAAGAUGCAUCAACACAUUGGAAAGAUGUUUGUGGUGCACUCAAGCUUGACAAGGUAAGCAAAUGCAUGUAUAAUUCACAUAAA